rnacentral:lncRNA from 1 species
AGGCAGGGGAACUGUGUGUCCGGAGGCCCAGCGGCCAGCAGGAAAGUGACAGAUGGAAGGCACAAGUUUUGUAAACAUUUGACGCCCACGUAUGAGAGAGGUUAUCCCUACAGUGUGUUUGGUGAGAAAGGCAGGAUUAGUUUCCAUACAUUUUCUGGUUCAUUUUUCAAAAGACUGAUUCUGUAGUUGCAAGAGACGCAGUGGCUGCUUAAUAAAUCUCUGCUGAACAAAUGAAUAAGGAACUUUACGUAAGAGUCCAAAGCUCCAGCUAGGUGAAAUGGAGUUAGGAAAGCUGUGUAACGGCAUGAAAUCUAUGUCCCCGCCUGGAAACGUAUGUGGCAUUUCUCAAUCUGCUUUUUUCCCUUUCCUUCUUCUUUUGUAAAGUGUCCGUUACAGAAUUUUAUACCAUGUUUAGGGCCUCACAUCUCCUGCACAGCAGUGAAUUUAGCUCAAUUCACAAAACACCUUUUGAAAGUUUGUGAGAAGUACACAGCCGUUGUGAGUUUCCAUGUAUUUGCAUGUCCCCAGCAAAAAAAGAUGGUUUAGACACCUCCCCUACCACAAAGAAUGUUGGCUCUGGGAUCCAGCAGGCCAGCCCAUCAGUUGGCAGCUGUGUGACUUCGCCACAUCUUGUCUACCUCUUCCAGCCUCAGCGUUUCAAGUAUAAUCUGGAGGUUUUCUUCUCAUCUCCCAGGGCGGUUGUAAACAGAGAGUGCACUGGAAGUAGCAGCUGCAGUGCUCAGGGGUGCUUCCGCCCUUCUUGCCAUCCUUAUUCUUUGCCACAUGCAAGCCCCACUCUCAGAAACCAUGGCCUCCUCGUGAAGGAGAAAAAGGAACCAUUCAAAUUCAAAACAAAACAAAAAAUUGCUCACACUUAACACUGCUUGCCGUGCCAGCAACGAGAAGAGGCUGAGCCAGUUUCCGAAUUGCUUUCUGUCCAAGGGAGGAAGCCUUACCUUCCCAGAAGCUGGAGUCCACAGGAACCUGGAGGGAGAAGCAGGGUUUCCACGGGCCAUGGCCCAGCUGGGGAAAUGCUUGUUUAUGGUGACCGUGCUGCAGCUGUGGACGCCGUAUCACCUACCGUGUUGUAAGUGGAAAGGCAAUCAAGGGCAUCAUUCAUUCCCUCAUUCCGCCAGCGUUCUCUUCCUUCCAUGAGGCCGCUGACCCUGGGGCCCUUAUAGGCUAGUGUGUGGGGUGUUUGGUGGUUGGGGACUGUGUUUGUGGGGCUGGAAGUUACAUAAAUAAUAAUAGCAAAUCUCCAGUACUUACCUUACACCAGCAGUAGCCUCGGGCCUUUGGAAAUAUUGACCAUUUAAUCCUCUCUCAGCCCCAUGUGAGAGGUAAAAGUGUGGCCUCCAUUUUAUAGAUGAAGAAAUGAGAUAAAGUCACACAGCUGGGAAGGGAAAGAGCCGGUCUGUGAGCUCAGAGAGUUCAACUGUCUGGUUUGAGUUUAAACCUUUAAAUCAAACUGGGCCUCUAAAGGACAGAAAAUAGAAGGGUGCUUGCCAGGGUCUGGAGGGAGCGAGGAGUGGGGAGUUAGUGGUUAAUGGGGACAGAGUUUCAGCUUGGGAAGAUGAGAAAGUUCUAGAGGUAGAUGGUGGUGAUGGUUGUACAACAAUGUGAAUGUAUUUAACACCAAAUUGUAAAAAUUGUCAAAAUGAUAAAU